UCGGAACGUGUCCUGUUGUGGGGGAUAACUGAUCGAAAGAUCAGCUAAUACCGCAUGAGACCUGAGGGUGAAAGCGGGGGAUCGCAAGACCUCGCGCGACAGGAGCGGCCGAUGUCUGAUUAGCUAGUUGGUGAGAUAAAAGCUUACCAAGGCGACGAUCAGUAGCUGGUCUGGGAGGAUGAUCAGCCACAUUGGGACUGAGACACGGCCCAGACUCCUACGGGAGGCAGCAUG
rnacentral:rRNA from 1 species